UACAGAGGUCUCAAGCGUUGUUCGGAUUCAUUGGGCGUAAAGGGUGCGUAGGCGGCGCGGUAAGUCGGGUGUGAAAUCUCGGGGCUUAACUCCGAAACUGCAUUCGAUACUGCCGUGCUUGAGGACUGGAGAGGAGACUGGAAUUUACGGUGUAGCGGUGAAAUGCGUAGAUAUCGUGAGGAACACCAGAGGCGAAGGCGGCUACCUGGACAAUUGCUGACGCUCAGGCACGAAAGCGUGGGGAGCAAAAGGG
rnacentral:rRNA from 1 species